UGGGGAAUAUUGGACAAUGGGCGAAAGCCUGAUCCAGCAAUGCCGCGUGAGUGAUGAAGGCCUUAGGGUUGUAAAGCUCUUUUACCAGAGAUGAUAAUGACAGUAUCUGGGGAAUAAGCCCCGGCUAACUCCGUGCCAGCAGCCGCGGUAAUACGGAGGGGGCUAGCGUUGUUCGGAAUUACUGGGCGUAAAGCGCGCGUAGGCGGCUAUUCAAGUCAGAGGUGAAAGCCUGGAGCUCAACUCCAGAACUGCCUUUGAAACUGGAUAGCUAGAAUCUUGGAGAGGUCAGUGGAAUUCCGAGUGUAGAGGUGAAAUUCGUAGAUAUUCGGAAGAACACCAGUGGCGAAGGCGACUGACUGGACAAGUAUUGACGCUGAGGUGCGAAAGCGUGGGGAGCAAA
rnacentral:rRNA from 1 species